rnacentral:rRNA from 1 species
GAACGCUGGCGGCGUGCUUACCACAUGCACGUCGAACGGAAAGGCUCCAGCUUGCUGGCGUACUCGAGUGGCGAACGGGUGAGUAACACGUGGGUAAUCUGCCCUGCACUCUGGGAUAAGCCUGGGAAACUGGGUCUAAUACUGGAUAUGACCUUUCUCCUUAUGGGGUUUGGUGGAAAGUUUUUCGGUGUAGGAUGAGCCCGCGGCCUAUCAGCUUGUUGGUGGGGUGAUGGCCUACCAAGGCGACGACGGGUAGCCGGCCUGAGAGGGUGAUCAGCCACAUUGGGACUGAGAUACGGCCCAGACUCCUACGGGAGGCAGCAGUGGGGAAUAUUGCACAAUGGGCGGAAGCCUGAUGCAGCGACGCCGCGUGAGGGAUGACGGCCUUCGGGUUGUAAACCUCUUUCAGCAGGGACGAAGCGUAAGUGACGGUACCUGCAGAAGAAGCACCGGCUAACUACGUG